GAUCGUAGGGUAGCUCUAUCUUCAACUUUUUGAGGAACCUCCAUACUGUUUUCCAGAGUGGUUGCCCCAGCUUGCAUUCCCACCAACAGUGUAGGAGGGUUCCCCUUUCUCCGAUCCCCGCCAACAUCUGUCAUUUCCUGACUUGUUAAUUUUAGCCAUUCUGACUGGCGUGAGGUGGUAUCUCACUGAAGUUUUGAUUUGGAUUUCCCUGAUGCCGAGCCAUGUUGAGCACUUUUUUCAUGUGUCUGUUGGCCAUUUGGAUGUCUUCUUUGGAAAAAUGUCUGUUCAUGUCUUCUGCCCAUUUCUUGAGGAUUAUUUUUUCUUUGGGUGUUGAGUUUGAUAAGUUCUUUAUAGAUUUUUGGAUACUAGCCCUUUAUCUGAUAUGUCAUUUGCAAAUAUCUUCUCCCAUUCUGUUGGUUGUCUUUUGGUUUUGUUGACUGUUUCCUUUGCUGUGCAAAAGCUUAUCUUGAUGAAGUCCCAAUAGUUCAUUUUUGCCCUUGCUUCCCUUGCCUUUGGCGAUGUUUCUAGGAAGAAGUUGCUGCGGCUGAGGUCAAAGAGGUUGUUGCCUGUGCUCUCCUCUAGGAUUUUGAUGGACUCCUGUCUCACAUUUAGGAAUGAUGCUGCACACUGUUUUUGUGUGGAAGUAUGUUUCAAGUCUCUUGGAUACAUACAGAGGAGUAGAACUGCUGGAUAACAUGAUUUUAUUUAUUCACAAGUGGGGAGAGGAGCAGAGCAGAGGGAGAGGGAGAAGCAGACUCCCCACUGAGCAGGGAACCCAACACGGGGCUCCCUCCCAGGACCCUGGGAUCAUGACCUGAGCCGAAGGCACAUACCCGACCGACUGAGCCACCCAGGUGCCCCUCUCCUUAUCUUUCAAGAACAUUUUUAUCUACUCUCCAUUUCCCAAAAUUUUGCUGAACCAAGGAGAUGAUGCAAUUUAAUUACUUUAACACCUAUUUCUGAACAUGCUCGGGCUUGAUGACACUUCCCAUUGGCAAUGCACUGUGCAGAUUGCAGCUCAGGGCCGCUGUCAAUGACUUUAUUCUCUCCUUUUUAAAGAUGAGGAAGCAAAGGUGAAGUAGGGCCAGGCUGUAGCUCCACAGAGUCCUCGUGAGCUACGGGAGACUGAACGGUAGGUGGGCAGGUGGGAGAGCCUGCCUUCCUAAGCCCCCGCUGCGCCUCUGGCUGCAGGGAGGGGGGGCCAUGAGCUUGGACAUGGCCUCAUGGAUUUCCUGAGUCAAGUCCUCAACUAGGCCAGUUCCCUUCAUUUUCUCUCUGUUUUCACAGAGAGGUUUGAAUACAACUCCCAAACACAUUGGCAAAACUUGGGAACAAAUCAGAAAAUUUCACAUAAAAAUGUAGAUUUCCAACUUCUCUCGAAUAGUACAACAACAGAGGAUGGAGGUGUUCCCACCUGGCAAAAAUCGGGGGGAUCAGCCCCUUUCAGAUGAUUUAUGCGUUCCCUGGCUCACUUAGUUAUUUUCUUGCCUGGCCUUGUAGGCCUCUGAGGGGACAAUCCCAGAGUGUAUGCUAGGUGUAAGGGGCCAGACACAAAAGGUCACACACUGUAUGAUUUCAUGUAUAUGAAAUAUCUACAACAGGCAGUUCCAAGGAGAGAGAAAGUGGA